GGCUUUAUAAUCAAAAUAUGAUAUUAGACUGCAAUUCUAAAAGUGUGAGAAAUUACUAAGGCUU
rnacentral:tRNA from 2 species